UUAUAGGUGAGAAUGUUACUGUUGCAUCAGAAACAUCGAAACCAGCUCUGUGUGAUAAUUCAGUGGUGUGUGAACCAACACUGCAUGGAAACAGCACUAACAUGAACACACAGGAGAAAACAGUGCUCGUUUUGGGAACGGCUUUGGGUUUGUGUGCACUUCUGAUUUUCUGCCUCACUUAUUUCAUACUGAGGAGAAGAAAAUGUGAUAAAAAAGAUUUUCCAGGAACAAGGCAGGAAUCUAAUUUUGACAGCUUGACUUAUGAAGCUUCCCAAUUGUUGAAGAAGAACGUCAAACCUGGAGGAAGGGAUGAUUUGAUGUACUCUAAUGUGAUGUAUGUGAAAGUGUAAUAUAUAACAUAAAUGACCCUGAACACAUUAUUAUAAGCUGAACUGCUGCCAUACAAAAGGGCUUUCACCUAUCUAGAUAUGUUUAGGCCAGUGACAGCUUCCUUUAUUAUUAUUAUUAUUAUUAUUAUUAUUAUUAUUAUUAUUAUUAUUGUUGUAUAAAGGAAUAUAUGUAAAAUAUAUGCAAUACAUCUGAGUGUAUAUUGUAUCUGUCUAUGUUCUCAUUGCUCUGUGUUCUACAGUGCAUCUCUCAAACAUUGUUUAUAAAAAUAAAUGUCAUUCUUUUACCUGAA